rnacentral:rRNA from 1 species
UCGGGAUAACACCUGGAAACAGAUGCUAAUACCGGAUAACAACAGAUGAUGCCUAUCAACUGUUUAAAAGAUGGUUCUGCUAUCACUCUUGGAUGGACCUGCGGUGCAUUAGCUAGUUGGUAGGGUAACGGCCUACCAAGGCGAUGAUGCAUAGCCGAGUUGAGAGACUGAUCGGCCACAUUGGGACUGAGACACGGCCCAAACUCCUACGGGAGGCAGCAGCA